rnacentral:tRNA from 1 species
GCCGGGAUGUUGUAAUGGUAGCCAAGCAUGCUUGAGGUGCAUGUGCUGUAAAAAGCGUGGAGGUUCGAGUCCUCUUCCCGGCA